AUAGAUACCCGGGUAGUCCUUACCGUAAACUAUGUAUACUUGGUGUAACUGGACUCAACCCCGGUUGUGCCGUAGCUAACGCGUUAAGUAUACCGCCUGAGGAGUACAGUCGCAAGGCUGAAACUCAAAAGAAUUGACGGGGACCCGCACAAGCAGUGGAGCAUGUGGUUUAAUUCGAUGCAACGCGAAGAACCUUACCCAGGCUUGACAUGCAGUAGACAACAUCAGAAAUGAUGUCUUCCUUCGGGACUGCUGCACAGGUGCUGCAUGGCUGUCGUCAGCUCGUGCCGUGAGGUGUUGGGUUAAGUCCCGCAACGAGCGCAACCCUUAUCGUUAGUUGCCAACACGUAAUGGUGGGAACUCUAACGAGACUGCCUGGGUUAACCAGGAGGAAGGUGAGGAUGACGUCAAGUCCGCAUGGCCCUUAUGUCUGGGGCUACACACGUGCUACAAUGGUCGGUACAGAAGGCAGCGAAGCCGCAAGGUGAAGCAAAUCCGCUAAAGCCGAUCCCAGUUCAGAUUGU
rnacentral:rRNA from 1 species